AGGGCUUUCGGGACAGGACGAGCCUCUGGAAGUCCAGAGGCGGAGCGACAGUAGAAAUGGCGUCUCCGGCGCGGGGUAACCACGUGUGGGUGGGGUCCGAGACGGGCAUCCUGAAAGGGAUCAACCUGCAGAAGAAACAGGCCACAAACUAUAAGUCAGGAGAUGCGGUACUCAGUCGACAUGAAGCUGUUACUGCCAUGUGUUGGGGCGAUCCCUACGAGUCUGAGAUCUUUGUUGGAUGCCUUGAUGGAUCAGUCAGAUUGUUCAGUACUGAGAAGGGCAAGUUUACUGAGUCGCGAGACUGUCUAGGAGGCGAGGGACCCUUUUGUGGCUUGGCUGUGCUUGAUAAUUCCCUCAUCACCUGUGUACAAUCUGGUUUGCUGAAGGUCUGGCGGGAUGCUUCGUCGGAAAAUCUGGAGGUCCAGGUGGGCCCCGGCGUGUGCCGCAUGCGCCAGAACCCGGAACAGCCUCACCGUGUGGCCACAGGCGGGAAGGAGAACUGCCUCAAGGUGUGGGACCUCCACCAACCGCAGGAGCCCAUCUUCCGAGCCAAAAAUGUGCGGAACGACUGGCUUGACCUGAGGGUGCCUGUCUGGGACCAGGACAUGCAGUUCCUGCCUGGAUCAGAGAAAAUUGUUACCUGCACUGGACACCACCAGGUUCGGAUCUAUGACCCCAGCUCCCCACAGCGGCGCCCUGUGUUGGAAGCCACCUUUGGGGAGUACCCGCUCACUGCCCUCUCCCUGACCCCUGACGCAAAUGCUGUUGUUGUGGGCAGCUCGCAUGGGGAUGUGGCAGUAAUUGAUCUACGGCAAGGGCGGUUGCUGAAGUGCCUCAAAGGCUUUGCUGGGAGUGUCCGUGCCAUCCAGUGCCACCCUGUGCUUCCGCUGGUGGCCUCGUGCGGGUUGGACCGCUUCCUUCGUGUGCACAACCACCAGCACAAGCGCUUGGAGCAUAAGGUGUAUCUGAAAUCUCGAUUGAACUGCCUGCUGCUAACCAGCAGAGAGAAAUGGGAGGAUGAAGGCGCCGACCCUUCAGCUGACCUCCAGAGUGACGUGAAAGAGGAGGAGGAGGACGAUGAGAUCUGGAACUCAAUGGAAGUGGUUGCUGCCAAGCGGAAAGCAGAACAGCAGCCGUGCUCUGAUGUGGGGAGGGACGCACCCCAAAGGAACAAGCGCCUCAAAAAGCCGAAGAUUAAAAAAAGCUGAAUCUUGAUAUCUAUGUGGGGAGGGGGUUGGAAUGACAUUUGCCUUUUUUAAUAACGAAGGAGGCAGGCAUCACCAAAGUGCCUGAAUCUCAGCCUUGGACAUGGAUUUGCCACAAGCAAAGGCCUUGGCUGGUCAUGGGAGAAAAAGAGACAGAAACAUUGUGAUCUGCUUUCUGCUGCUUCGUAGGACAAGUUUGCCAUGGGAGGGCUUUUAACCUCAUAGCAGCCCCAGCUUAUUUUUUGGAUCUGGGGAGCUGGUGUGGCAGGAAUGUGAAGAUUUAUAGCAGGGGCUUCAUUUCAAGAACCUCAUGGAGACAACACAUUUCCCCUCUGCAUGUUUAAAAUUCUCCCAUUUCCUUCUCUCAUUUUGGCUGCUGUGCAGUUGAAGCUAUUAAAAAGUACCUUCUUGCACAAUAUGGGCUAUUUCCCCCCGCGCGGUGUCUCGGGUAGGAGGAAGUGUCACCAUCUCCUGUCCUGCUUAGCAUUUCCAUUUCCUUUUUAUUUUUAAGGAGUGCGUAAGAGUGAUGUGUGGAAGCAACUUCUAACUCCCAAGUUUGGGACCACUCAGGAUAUUAUUAUAUUCAUAUCCCGACUUUUCCAGGCCUCAAUGUGGCUUACACAAAUUGAAACAACACAGAUAAAAGUUGAAAAGUAAAUAAACUAUAAUAGAAUUAAAACAAUACAAAAACAACUUAUUAAAACACAGAUAGUAAAAAUAGCACAGCACUAAUUAUUUUUUUUAAAAAAGUCAGUUCCCAAAUGCCUACUAGAAUAAAACAUUGUUUUCACCUGCUGGCAGAAGAAUAACGAGGGAGCCAGCCUAGCUUCACUAGGAAGCGACUCCCCAAAUCUGGACGGGCUCCUUCCACAUUCCUACCAAAUGUGUCUGUGAGGGUGGUAGGGCUGAGAGAAGGGCCUCCCCCAAAGAUUUCAGGGCCUGGGCAGGUUUGUGUGACAGAAUACAGUACGGUCCUUCAGAGAGCCUGGGCAUAAGCCGUAAAACGCUCUAUAGCUCAUAACCAACACUUUGAAUUGAGCCCAGAAACCCAGUGGAGCUGUCGAAAAAAGGGAGUAAUAGGCUCCCUAAAACCAGCCCCAGUCAAGAGUUUGCCUGCAGCUCUUUGUUUGUUGGAGUUUUCAAGCACUUCAAAUUAACCCCUACAUAGAGCAUGUUACAGUAAUCCAAAUGGGAUGUAACUAAGCUAGACGAGAAUUCUCCAGGAAUGGGCACAGCUGGCACACAAGACCUAACUGCAAAUGCAGUUAGUAAAUCUGGGCAUCCAGGCUUAGGGCUGAAUCCAGUAAAAUACCCAGACUGGGAACCUGCAUUUUCAGGGGGAGUUUUGCCCCGUCCAAGAUUGGAUUUGCAGAUUUAUCAAAAUGCAUACUGCUAUAUCAUAGAAAAUAUCAAAACAGUGAAUUUUUUCUGUAAUAAAACAGCUGCUUUGAGAUCUUGUAUAGAAUGUCCUGGGAGAUUGAAGUGUUCUCCUACUGGUUUCUCUGUCUUGUGGUUCCUGAUGUCAGAUUUAUGUCCAUUUAUCCUUUUGCGUAGGGUUUGGCCUGUUUGUCCAAUAUAGAGAGCUGAAGGGCACUGUUGGCAUUUGAUGGCAUCCACAAUGUUAUAAGAUGAGCAAUUAGAUAAUUUCAGGAACAGACUGGAAAGAGAAGUUGCUGAAUUGGAACUCAUUACCAAGCUUAAAACCAUGGAGCCACCUGGGAUGAACAAAGACAUUGGAUUCUUAUCUCAUUAUGCAUGAUCAAGCUUUCUUUAGCGCCUCAGCCCUUGCUUUUCCCCCGCAGGACCAAUUGCAGUCACCAGCAGUCGUUAACAGCCAUCUACAGGUUUACCACUUCCAUCAGCCCAUCACCCAUUCCCCCCCCCCACCCUCUGUAUAUACAUACGGGUCUGACUUCUGUUUCAAGUGUAUCUGAAGAAGUGUGCAUGCACACGAAAGCUCAUACCAAAAUAAAAACGUAGUUGGUCUUUAAGGUGCUACUGAAGGAAUUUUUUUAUUUUGCUUCGACUCAGACCAACACGCCUACCUACCUGUAACUAAAUGUUAUGGCAUCAUCUUUCAAGGGCUAGAGAGGCUGCUUCAUCAAACAGACCUUUAAUAUGAUCCAGCAAGGGCUGCUCAUAUUAUUCCCCAUCUUUUUUUUAAUGUGCUUUCACUAUCAAGAAAGGGGACACGGGUGGCGCUGUGGGUUAAACCACAGAGCCUAGGGCUUGCCAAUCAGAAGGUCAGCAGUUCGAAUCCCCGCGACAGGUGAGCUCCCAUUGCUCAGUCCCUGCUCCUGCCAACCUAGCAGUUCAAAACCACAUCAAAGUGCAAGUAGGUAAAUAGGUACCGCUCUUGUGGAAAGGUAAACGGCAUUUCCGUGCGCUGCUCUGGUUCGCCAGAAGCGGCUUAGUCAUGCUAGCCACAUGACACGGAAAGUUGUCUGCAGACAAACACUGGCUCCGUCGGCCAGCAAAGCGAGAUGAGCGCCGCAACCCCAGAGUUGUCCGCGACUGGACCUAACGGUCAGGGGUCCCUUUACCUUUACCAUCAAGAAAGCCCUUGCAUACCCCCCACCACAAAAGUACACUUUUUAUCAGUUAUUCAUAUUCCCAUUAAAAAAGCUUAUUAAAAAUUAGGCUUAAGGUUCUACCCAACACAUUUCUCUUUAGUUCUUGCAUGGUUCUCCCCCUUCUCAUUGACUCCAUAACAACCCUGUGAGGUAGGUUAAGAUGAGAAUGAGUGGCGCAACUCACUGAAUUUCAUGGCUGAGUCUGAAUUCGAACCCUGGUCUUUCCAGGUCCUGGUCCAACACUCUUACCACUGUAUCACACUGGGUUUUUAAUCAUAACAGACUAACACCUUUCAUACUAUGUGGCUCAAGAGUGCGGUAUGUGGCUCAAGAGUGCUGGACGAGGACUUGGGAGACUGGAGCUCACAUCCUCACUUGGUCACCAUGCUGCUGUCUCUCAGCCUAAUCUGGGCAUGGGGAAUAUUUAGUUCUCCCGAUGUUGCUGAACUACUACACCAUUGGCUAUACUUGCUAGGGCUGAUGGGAGUUGUAGUUCAGCAACAUCUAGAAGGGCAAAAGUUCCCCCACACCUGGCUUAAUCGACCUCACAGGGCUGUUGUGGGGAAACCAUGUACCUGUAUGUGAUAUUGAGCUCCCCAGAGGACUGAUGGGAUAUAAUCUAAUAAUAAUCAUUUUGUUAUUAUUUAAUGCUGCAAUCUGCAGAACUGCCUUUGCUGAUUUAUCCACCCAACAUCUCUUAUAUCCCACAACUACCCUAUCUGAAUUUUUGAAUGCAGUUUGGGAAGCUUUCUGUGUCAUUCUGCAAAAUAUCCCUACUCCAAAACUCUCAUCAUUUACAGGGGCUUGGAGAGGAUUUGUGGAGCAGAAAAAAAGGAUGCUCGUGUAUUCUCUCCCUCCUCUCUCGGAGGCAAUAUCCUGGGAAUCACAAGCAGGGAGACUUGCUGUUGCGCUCAUGCCCUGCUUUGGGACUGCCCAUUGUGUCAUCUGUUUGGCCAUUGUGAGAAGAGGGUGUUGGACAAGAUGGCCUGAUGCAGCAGCCAGGCUGCUCCUACGUUCUCAAGGCAAUGGGAUUUGCUUUUGAGGGGGAAAUGCGGCUUUAAUGACCCUGGCAGCGCAAUCGUAUUUUUAUUUUUUUGUACCCUAUAUUUGUAAACUGCUUAGAGACUAUUGUAGUUAAGCAGUAUGUAUACUAAAUUGCUUAAAUCAAUACAUAAAACCAGAAGCAAGCCUCAGUCUGUAUGGGAUUUACUCCCUCCUAGGGAAACGUGCAUAGGAUCGCAGCCACCGUGGUAACGAAGAGAGUUUGGAUCCGGGAUCGGAAGGCGAUAUAUUUAUAACAAAUGCAAUUGAUAUAAUAGAAAAGAACGAUCUUUUUUUUUUUUUUUUUAGGAAGACGGUGGAGGAUGGUGGGCAGAGUGAGGCGAGGCAACUUUCCUCCGCCAAAGUUGGAGCCGAGGCGAAAGCGUGACCUCACAAAAGCCGCCUAGGGAAUAAGGCUGCUGCGGCUGCGGGCCCCUUUGGCGGGCCGGGACGGGCCCCGUCCAGGCGCCGCGCGGCGGGCGAUGGGCUGUGUGGAAUCCAAUGAAGUGCUUUCCUCCGAAGUUAUAGAGACAACAGAAUCAACACCACCCGCGCCCCAAACGACUGCUCCAGGCUCGGAAAAAGUGAAAAGAAAGAGAAGACAUAGCUUAAGGGAAAGGUUGACAAGUGGGAAGAAGACAUCUACUGAAGAUCUGAGCCAUCGGACUGAAAGCACAAAGAUCCACGUGAUCUGGAGACGUGUUUCUGUCUUCAGCACACGUCGAGAUUCCUUGAAGAGCACGAGCACAGACAUGGCUGGGCCCAGUCAUCUGAACAGCGAUCAAGAACAUCGACCCGAUACCUCUCAGUAAUUUGGGGGAGCUCACUGAGGAGAGAGAGAAUGUGGACAGAGAAUACAGAGCAGGCUAUGGCAGCAUUGCUGCAAAAUACAGGCAGUCUUACAGCUAAGGGGGAUAAACUUUAACUAUCACGCAUGGCUUUCUGUGAAAUUAUUGGCUGGAAAUAGCAGGUACCCAUUUUGAUAACGGUCAGGAAGAGAAAGGAGAGGACUAGUAAUGGGAAGUGAGGAAUUCAAACAGUUUUUUGGUGGUCUUAAUUAAUUAUGUGGCAAUGGCUUGGACAACUUGUGACCCAUGAACACAGCGCAAUAUCCCAUGCAGCAAGCAACAGCCUGUCUUUUUAUUCCUCGCACCCCUUCCCAUAAGAUGUUUUGAUGGACGGGCCAGAGAAAAAGUUAAAAUUUCCUACAUCAGGGCCAGUGGCAGGUUUGAGGGACAAGAGAUACCUUCAGUAAGCCUCACUGAGCUAGAGAUGAGGAAACCUCAGGCCUGGGGGCCAAUUGCAGCCCUCCAGGCCUCUCUACCUGGCCUCAGAACCCUCCUCAGGCCACAUCCUUCAAUGGCUCUAGGUGCCUUUGCCAGGUUAGAAUGUGUCCAAAUCUGAUUGUGCCUCUUGCUAGCACUGAUGGAGAGGGAGGGAUAGGUGAUUGUGCAUAGAGACUAGCCUACUAUAGAAAGGUAUCAUUUACA